GAUGAAGAACGUAGCGAAAUGCGAUAAGUAAUGUGAAUUGUAGAAUUCAGUGAAUCAUCGAAUCUUUGAACGCACAUUGCGCCCGCGAGUAUUCUCGCGGGCAUGCCUGUCCGAGCGUCAUUUCGACCCUCAGGGCCCGCCUGCUUGCAGGCGCGGCGCUGGUGUUGGGGAUCGGCUACCCUGCCGUCCCCCAAAUACAGUGGCGGUCUCGCUGCAGCCUCCCCUGCGUAGUAGCAACACUCGCAUGCGGAGCGCGGCGCGGCCACGCCGUAAAACCCCCGACUUUCUGAACGUUGACCUCGGAUCAGGUAGGAAUACCCGCUGAACUUAAGCAUAUCAAUAAGCGGAGGA
rnacentral:misc_RNA from 1 species